rnacentral:rRNA from 1 species
GAUGAACGCUGGCGGCGUGCCUAAUACAUGCAAGUCGAGCGAACAGACCAGGAGCUUGCUCCUCUGACGUUAUCGGCGGACGGGUGAGUAACACGUGGAUAACCUACCUAUAAGACUGGGAUAAUUUCGGGAAACCGGAGCUAAUACCGGAUAAUAUAUUGAACCGCAUGGUUCAAUAGUGAAAGACGGUUUUGCUGUCACUUAUAGACGGAUCCGCGCCGCAUUAGCUAGUUGGUAAGGUAACGGCUUACCAAGGCAACGAUGCGUAGCCGACCUGAGAGGGUGAUCGGCCACACUGGAACUGAGACUCGGUCCAGACUCCUGCGGGAGGCAGCGGUAGGGAAUCUUCCGCAAGGGGCGAGAGCCUGACGGAGCAACGCCGCGUGAGUGAUGAAGGUCUUCGGAUCGUAAAACUCUGUUAUUAGGAGAGAACAAAUGUGUAAGUACCUGUGCACAUCUUGACGGUACCUAGUCAGAAAGCCACGGCUAACUACGUG